CAGCUGUAACAUCUUAGAAGGUGUCACAGACUCACAAAAUGUCCCGUGAACCAGUACUACAUCAUCCAUUGUAAAACUCUCUGUCCCAGGGGAGGUAUUGGGGGUGUUCCCACCUAGCCGAAGCCCAGUAAAAGAUACAGACUCCUUCCCUCACCCACAGACUCCUUCUCUCACCACCCGGCUUCUUCCCUCCCUACACAGUUCCAGACUGCAACCAUCACUUUGAUGAGACUGGGACUCUCACCACCAAGACCACAAUAGGAGGAUCAACGGGAUGCCAUUGGAAUCCAUAGAAUGAUGAUCUUUUUCCUAUUUAAUCUGUCUCUCUGUCACUCUCUUUCUCUCCCUCACCAUGUCUCUUUUCCCUAUUUCUUUCUACCUCACAUUUACUGUUAAAUAAAAAUUUGUACUAUUGA